UAGGUGGUGUGUCGCGUCGUCCGUGAAAACUCACAGCUUAACUGUGGGCGUGCGGGCGAUACGGGCAGACUUGAGUACUGCAGGGGAGACUGGAAUUCCUGGUGUAGCGGUGGAAUGCGCAGAUAUCAGGAGGAACACCGGUGGCGAAGGCGGGUCUCUGGGCAGUAACUGACGCUGAGGAGCGAAAGCGUGGGGAGCGAACAGGAUUAGAUACCCUGGUAGUCCACGCCGUAAACGGUGGGUACUAGGUGUGGGUUUCCUUCCUUGGGAUCCGUGCCGUAGCUAACGCAUUAAGUACCCCGCCUGGGGAGUACGGCCGCAAGGCUAAAACUCAAAGAAAUUGACGGGGGCCCGCACAAGCGGCGGAGCAUGUGGAUUAAUUCGAUGCAACGCGAAGAACCUUACCUGGGUUUGACAUGCACAGGACGACUGCAGAGAUGUGGUUUCCCUUGUGGCCUGUGUGCAGGUGGUGCAUGGCUGUCGUCAGCUCGUGUCGUGAGAUGUUGGGUUAAGUCCCGCAACGAGCGCAACCCUUGUCUCAUGUUGCCAGCGCGUUAUAUCGCGGAGAUCUCGUGAGAGACUGCCGGGGUCAACUCGGAGGAAGGUGGGGAUGACGUCAAGUCAUCAUGCCCCUUAUGUCCAGGGCUUCACACAUGCUACAAUGGCCGGUACAAAGGGCUGCGAUGCCGUGAGGUGGAGCGAAUCCUUUCAAAGCCGGUCUCAGUUCGGAUCGGGGUCUGCAACUCGACCCCGUGAAGUCGGAGUCGCUAGUAAUCGCAGAUCAGCAACGCU
rnacentral:rRNA from 1 species